rnacentral:snoRNA from 1 species
UAUCAAAAAAACAACCAUGAGUUCCACCGGCGUCACUGAGGCGUAUACCUUGCUCCAGUUUGAUGCUUAGUUUAAGGUGGAUAUUUUACGACUCGUGGAAGAUUAACGGUUUAAGAUGUAUCUCCAGCUAUUGAACGAGCGAAAGCCUUUUUCUUUCUCUCACCGAAGUUUGAUAUAGUUGGUCAUGAUUCUUGCAACAUGA